CACCUGUAGCAUAUGGAAGUUUCCGGGCCAAGGACUGCAUCCGAGCUGCAGCUGUGGCAAUGCCGGAUCCUUUAACCCAUUGGGCCAGGCUGGGGAUUGAACCCGCACCACCGCAGCUACCAGAGCCACUGCAGGCGGAUUCUUAACCCACUGUGCCCCUGCGGGAACUCCCAUUAUCUCCAUUUUAACUGAUGCGAGAACUAAAAAUACUUCCAGGGUGAGGAGCCCAGCUGGGGGGUUAGAGGCUUUAAGUGACCAGAACAUCAGAAACUCUUACCUCAAAUCGUGUCAGCUUCGCUUCUUCCGAGGGGAGGAAGGUGUGUACAGAGCAAUAAUUUAAAAUUUUAAAUAUUCUUUCUUCUGUAGCCCAUAACCUGUGAUAGCCCGAACUUCGGACGGCUGUGAACGGCGUCCGCUCUUUUGGCCGUAAACGUCUUUGCCGCAAAUGUUUUUACUGAAUAGGCCGUAAGGCAAUUUUGUCGUAAAAGACUCACUAGCUGCCAGUUUGAUUUGACACAUAUAAUACAAAUAUCCUGACAAAUGAUGAUGAUUUUCCCCAAGAAUUGGUUAUGUUGAAACACAGUACAUGGGAGGAGAAAGAGCCGGAGGCCUGGAAGGUGCAGAAUUACAUCUUCCCCAGAACUUUGGAAGGUUUGUCAGCAGACGGGCGACAUGCACCAAGAACACAGCAGUGUCGAAGGCUUUCACUACCCAGUACAAAGUUCAGUGACAAAUAGGCAUCCUCGCAUUUGGAAACUGUAAGCUGAUACACAUCUUUCAUUGAAGGAAGGCACUUUGUGGGAAAAGUAUGCUGAACGAGGAGAUAAAGCAACAAGCGGAAAAAAAAAAAAUACUAUGAAUGAAAGACUUGGAAGAUGAGUGUUUAGGUACAGCCUCCAAAACAAAACCAGUUAUUUGAGCAAUAUUGCUGUGAAUCUAUGCACAUUUUAAAGGUAUUCAAAUAUCUGUAUUGUGUGAAACAGUCUUUAUAUGGCUGUACAUGCAGCAAAUGGAAAUUCCUGGGCUAGAGGUUGAAUCGGAGCUGCAGCUGCCCACCUACACCAAAGCCUCAGCAACACUUGGAUCCAGCGGGUGUCUGUGAUGUAUGCAAGAGCUUUGUGGCAAUGUGGAUCCUUAACCCACUGAGCAAGGCCAGGGAUUGAACCCACAUCCUCACAGAGAUAUUGGGUCCUUAACCCACUAAGCCACAACAGUUAUUUCUGUGAUAAAGUCUUACAAAUUUUAUUACUCAUUAUCCAUGUAUCAUUACGUCCUUUUUAUGGGGAAUGGAGCUCUCUGGGAGGAGCACAGUGCAGUGCAGGAGAGCGCACCCCAAGGCUGGGGUGUCAGGGCAGUGGGAGGAGAGAGGGCCUGAGCAUUCCUGCCUACUUUGCCAGAGAUCUGCUAUUCAUCAAAGCAUUCAGCAAAUCUACAUCUACUGACAGUCUGCUCUGAACCCAACACUGUCCUAAGGAUCCAAGAUAAGAGUCCCAUUGCCAAGAAGCUCACAGUCACAAAGGAAGAGAGGCAAGUAAGACAUGACAAUACACGGCUCUGUAGUGACAGGGGCUUCCUAGGUGUGAGGAAGCUAACGCCGGGGUCAGGGAAGGCCUCACAGAGGAGUGGGCACUUGAGCUGAGACUAUGACAAUAAGUAGAUGUGUUAGGAUGUUAUAAUUUACUUUAAAAUAUCCAGGAUAGACAAUGUAAUAGUACAUGUUAAUGUACUCUGCACACUCGGGGCUCGUCAGUUGCCCUGAUCAGAAAUUUAUACUCCAGCUCAUUUAGUCAGUAAAGUCUCAAUAUAAAAUCAAGGACCAGAACUCCAGCUUCCUUAUUCCAAAAGAGACUAGACACUUCAUUAGUUAGGAUAGUGACUAUGAAGAUGGACUUGUCAGUGGGGAAAUUAUUGGCUUCUUAAUUAGCAUCCUUGAUGCAGUUAGUGUUAUUUAGUACAUGUGACUUCAAUAUACACUGGCUACAGUAUUUCAGAGAGCUUUUCUAACUCUCUAUAACCAGAGUAUAAGAAUCUACUGAGGUCUUCAGCUUGUGCUGUUGAGGUGAUGCCCAGGGCUUUUUAACUAGAUGAUUAGUUUUGAAGAUCCCAGUUGCUGAUGGAAUUUUAAGGCUCACGGAAUCUUGCUUCUAGAAUAUUAAUGCCUCUGCUUUCAGUCAUUUUCUAUGUAAAGUGGAUGUCAGAUAGCCUAAAAAAGCACUGGAUUUCCAGAGCUCAGGAAGAUUUCCAUGAAUGACCUCCUGUGUGCUUGCUUGCUGGCUUGCUACUACGUGUUUGCUAACGAUAUAUUUCUACAGUGUAGCAGAAAUUGGUCCUGAGAUUGUUUUCAUCAUAAAAUAGUGAAGAUGCAGGCCUACCUUUACCUGCCAAAAAGAGUGCACGACUAAAUGAGUUUAGGUCGGUCUGCAACAGGGAGUUCCACCAGCUGGUGCAGACAAAGAGGGGCUCUCCGGGCAGGGAAGACACUAGGGAACAGGGCACAGGGUGGUUCUCAGCCACCUGAAAGUAGGUGCACUUGCCCAAGGUGCCAGGUACCAAGCAGAGGGGAAGAUGUGACUGUUUCCCUCCUGAAAGACUGUGGACUGUAUCCCUCACCUUAGUGUUGUCCAUGACAUGCC
ensembl:lncRNA